rnacentral:rRNA from 1 species
CCAGCCCGCCCAGUGACAAAGUUUAACGGCCGCGGUACCCUAACCGUGCGAAGGUAGCAUAAUCACUUGUUCUUUAAAUAAGGACACGUAUCAACGGCAUCACGAGGGCUAUACUGUCUCCUUUCUCUAAUCAGUGAAACUGAUCUUCCCGUGAAGAAGCGGGAAUUAUUAUAUAAGACGAGAAGACCCCAUGGAGCUUUAAACUCAAUAUAUACCUCUACGCAUUUACAUCACCAUAGCCUAAGAAAAUUAUAUAUUAGUUUUGGGUUGGGGGGACCGCGGAGAAAAAAUUAACCUCCACGACAAAUAGGCCAACGCCUUUAUCCAUGAACUACAAUUCUAAGAAUCAACAAACUGAUGUUUAAUGAUCCAAUUUUUUGAUCAACGAACCAAGUUACCCUGGGGAUAACAGCGCAAUCUACUUCAAGAGCUCCUAUCGACAAGUGGGUUUACGACCUCGAUGUUGGAUCAGGGUAUCCUAGUGGUGCAGCCGCUACUAAAGGUUCGUUUGUUCAACGAUUAUAAACCUACAUGAGA